rnacentral:rRNA from 1 species
AGUGAACGCUGGCGGUAGGCCCAACACAUGCAAGUCGAACGGCAGCACAGUAAGAGCUUGCUCUUACGGGUGGCGAGUGGCGGACGGGUGAGGAAUACAUCGGAAUCUACUUUUUCGUGGGGGAUAACGUAGGGAAACUUACGCUAAUACCGCAUACGACCUACGGGUGAAAGCAGGGGAUCUUCGGACCUUGCGCGAUUGAAUGAGCCGAUGUCGGAUUAGCUAGUUGGCGGGGUAAAGGCCCACCAAGGCGACGAUCCGUAGCUGGUCUGAGAGGAUGAUCAGCCACACUGGAACUGAGACACGGUCCAGACUCCUACGGGAGGCAGCAGUGGGGAAUAUUGGACAAUGGGCGCAAGCCUGAUCCAGCCAUACCGCGUGGGUGAAGAAGGCCUUCGGGUUGUAAAGCCCUUUUGUUGGGAAAGAAAAGCAGCAGGUUAAGACCCCGCUGUUCUGACGGUACCCAAAGAAUAAGCACCGGCUAACUUCGU